UACGUAGGGGGCUAGCGUUGUCCGGAUUUAUUGGGCGUAAAGAGCGUGUAGGCGGCCAGGGUAGGUCUGCUGUGAAAACUCGAGGCUCAACCUCGAGACGUCGGCGGAAACCAUCUGGCUAGAGUCCGGAAGAGGAAAGUGGAAUUCCUGGUGAUAGCGGUGAAAUGCGCAGAUAUCAGGAAGAACACCCGUGGCGAAGGCGG
rnacentral:rRNA from 1 species